CAUUACCGAAGACAAUGAAGGGGUUUUGAGACUCUUUAUGCGUGCUCGACCCCUUUACUUUUCUUACCCACACCUUUUGUGCACGAUGGGAGAAAUCCCUUUCACAUAAAAACCCAACUGCAUGUCUUAUUAAAAGAAUGUAACAACUUUCAACAACGGAUCUCUUGGCUUUCGCAUCGAUGAAGAACGCAGCGAACGUGCGAAACGUAAUGUGAAUUGCAGAAUUCAGUGAAUCAUCGAAUCUUUGAACGCAUCUUGCGCUCCUUGGCAUUCCGAGGAGCAUGCCUGUUUGAGUGUCGUGAACUAGUCUCGAUUUCGAUUUCGAAAUCGGAUUUGGAUGUUGUUGUUGUGACUCAUCCUAAAUGCAUCAGCGAUCUGGCUUUGAUCACACGCAAUGUGAUAAGAAAAAAGCAUUGUUUCAGGGAUCAGAUCGAACCCCACUUCAUGUCGUUUGACCUCAAAUCAGGUAGGA
rnacentral:rRNA from 1 species